GAUGAAGAACGCAGCGAAAUGCGAUAAGUAAUGCGAAUUGCAGAAUUCAGUGAAUCAUCGAAUCUUUGAACGCACAUUGCGCCCCCUGGUAAUCCGGGGGGCAUGCCUGUUCGAGCGUCAUUUCACCACUCAAGCCUCGCUUGGUAUUGGGCAACGCGGUCCGCCGCGUGCCUCAAAUCGACCGGCUGGGUCUUCUGUCCCCUAAGCGUUGUGGAAACUAUUCGCUAAAGGGUGUUCGGGAGGCUACGCCGUAAAACAACCCCAUUUCUAAGGUUGACCUCGGAUCAGGUAGGGAUACCCGCUGAACUUAAGCAUAUCAAUAAGCGGAGGA
rnacentral:misc_RNA from 1 species